rnacentral:rRNA from 1 species
AGUGAACGCUGGCGGUAGGCCCAACACAUGCAAGUCGAACGGCAGCACAGUAAGAGCUUGCUCUUACGGGUGGCGAGUGGCGGACGGGUGAGGAAUACAUCGGAAUCUACUUUUUCGUGGGGGAUAACGUAGGGAAACUUACGCUAAUACCGCAUACGACCUACGGGUGAAAGCAGGGGAUCUUCGGACCUUGCGCGAUUGAAUGAGCCGAUGUCGGAUUAGCUAGUUGGCGGGGUAAAGGCCAACCAAGGCGACGAUCCGUAGCUGGUCUGAGAGGAUGAUCAGCCACACUGGAACUGAGACACGGUCCAGACUCCUACGGGAGGCAGCAGUGGGGAAUAUUGGACAAUGGGCGCAAGCCUGAUCCAGCCAUACCGCGUGGGUGAAGAAGGCCUUCGGGUUGUAAAGCCCUUUUGUUGGGAAAGAAAAGCAGCAGGUUAAUACCGCGCUGUUCUGACGGUACCCAAAGAAUAAGCACCGGCUAACUUCGUG